rnacentral:rRNA from 1 species
GAUGAACGCUGGCGGCGUGCCUAAUACAUGCAAGUCGAACGCUGAGAAUCUAGCUUGCUCGAUUGAAGGAGUGGCGAACGGGUGAGUAAUACAUAAGUAACCUACCCACGAAUACGGGGAUAAUCUCUGGAAACGGGGACUAAUACCGGAAAGGUAUUCGGAAGCCAUCUUCUGAUUAUUAAAUUUUAGAAAUUCUGGCGGAUGGGCUUAUGGCGCAUUCGUUAGUUGGUGAGGUAACGGCCCACCGAGACGAUGAUGCGUAGCCGUCCGGGGGGGGGGAACGGUGACAGGGGGACUGGGACAAGGACCAGAGAGCUACGGGAGGGAGCAGUAGGGGAUGUAAGGGAGGGGAGGAUACCCUAGCGGAGCAACGCCGGGUGAGUGAAGGCGGCGUUCGGGAUGUAAAGCUCUGUUGUAAGGGCAGAUCGGUAGAUAGAGAAUAUCUAAAUGACGGUACCUGACCAGAAAGCCACGGCUAACUACGUG